CUGGCCGGUUCCAAAAGGUCGGCUGCCAAACUUGGAAAUUUGGCACAAUUUUGAAGCUCACAAAUGACUAUAAAAUGGCACUUCCAAUCCAAUAAUAUUAGCCAUAUCCAAACCCAAAUCACACAAGAAAAAAUCCAUACCAAAAACCACCCUUCAACAUGUCGGAAUGUCCUCCAGGGAAAAGUGAUUGGCCAGAGCUUGUCUUUACAAAAUUUGCUAUUGCUGCUGCAAUCAUCGAAAAGGAGAAUCCCAAUGUCAAAGCUCACAAGAUCUUAGCUGGGAGUCCGAGAAUUUUGAAUUUCGAUUGUACACGAGUUUGGGUUGAUGUCAAUAUUGAAGAUGUGGUUGUUGAAAUUCCUAGGGUCGGUUAAAAAUUACAUAAUUAUGUAUGCAUAAGUUAUAUGUAUGUGUAUGUAUGCAUACAUUUAAUGUAUUGAAAUUACUAAUAAGGUAGUAUCUGCCUACCACUUCAAUUAUUAAUUGCUUCAAAAAUAUCUCAUUAUCAUGAA